rnacentral:rRNA from 1 species
UACGUAGGGUGCGAGCGUUGUCCGGAUUUAUUGGGCGUAAAGAGCGUGUAGGCGGCCAGGUAGGUCUGCUGUGAAAACUCGAGGCUCAACCUCGAGACGUCGGCGGAAACCAUCUGGCUAGAGUCCGGAAGAGGAGAGUGGAAUUCCUGGUGUAGCGGUGAAAUGCGCAGAUAUCAGGAAGAACACCCGUGGCGAAGGCGGCUCUCUGGGACGGUACUGACGCUGAGACGCGAAAGCGUGGGGAGCGAACAGG